AGCGAAGUUAACACCAUGUAGGGGAGCAGGUGCCUUAAAGUCUGGCUUCGCCCCCAAAAGAGUACAGCACCAUGAAGAAGAAAUUAUCAAAGGACUAUACAAAGGAGGGAGGCAAAAUAAAGCAUACCUUGUCCCUGAAGGUGAGAAAUAUCCAAACCUUCCUUUAGGCGGAUGACAACUACACCAUACUGAAUGUCAAAGGCAUCACUGUAAAAGGCCUUCAAAAAUGCAGAAUAAGCAAGAUGGGGGAAGAGAUAAGAGUAACAGCAACAGUUUUUAACAUAAGCAGUCCUGGAAGGGGCUAGAGGAUGAUGUGGAAGAUCUUUUAUCUGCCUGCAAGGAAUGUAUUAUUACCUGGACUGGCCCCCCACCUCUGGCAGCACCAGGAGAAUCUUGCACUUCAGUGGUUCAGUG